rnacentral:rRNA from 1 species
GACGAACGCUGGCGGCGUGCUUAACACAUGCAAGUCGAACGGAAAGGCCCUGCUUUUGUGGGGUGCUCGAGUGGCGAACGGGUGAGUAACACGUGAGUAACCUGCCCUUGACUUUGGGAUAACUUCAGGAAACUGGGGCUAAUACCGGAUAGGAGCUCCUGCUGCAUGGUGGGGGUUGGAAAGUUUCGGCGGUUGGGGAUGGACUCGCGGCUUAUCAGCUUGUUGGUGGGGUAGUGGCUUACCAAGGCUUUGACGGGUAGCCGGCCUGAGAGGGUGACCGGCCACAUUGGGACUGAGAUACGGCCCAGACUCCUACGGGAGGCAGCAGUGGGGAAUAUUGCACAAUGGGUGGAAGCCUGAUGCAGCAACGCCGUGGGCGGGAUGACGGCCUUCGGGUUGUAAACCGCUUUCGCUCAUGACGAAGCUUUGUGUGACGGUAGUGGGUAAAGAAGCACCGGCUAACUACGUG